rnacentral:rRNA from 1 species
UACGGAGGGUGCAAGCGUUGCUCGGAAUUAUUGGGCGUAAAGGGUAGGUAGGUGGUCUUAUUUGUCUGGGGUGAAAUCCUUGGGCUUAACCUAAGAAGUGCCCCAGAAACGGUAAGACUAGAGUCCUGGAGAGGGUCGUGGAAUUCCCGGUGUAGCGGUGAAAUGCGUAGAGAUCGGGAGGAACACCAGAGGCGAAGGCGGCGACCUGGACAGGCACUGACACUCAACUACGAAAGCGUGGGGAGCAAACAGG